UUCUUCCACACAUUCUUUUUAUUUGUAAAUAAUAAAAAUGAACUCUUUUUUUUAAAAUAUAAAACAUACACAUCAUUUGAGCCACACCUGUUAUACCAAACAAGAAACGCUGCAGUGAAUACUUUCUUUUUUAUCUGAUCGUUUCUUUUAUAGUUGUUGUUUCAGUGGAACACAUAAAUUGUAAACAAUCAGCAUUUUUUUCUCUCCUAAUAAUACUGACAAAAUAAAAAGAAUAACUCACUGAACAUGAAACACAAAAAAAUGAGACGUUUUUAUAAAUGGGGUUUUACAUGGCUGGGGUUGUAGGUUUCAAAGCAUGGAGAGAGAGGUGUUGUGUCGACAGCUUUUGCAGAUAAUAUGGCCUGAUACCCUAGUACACUCAAGUGUGGCAAUUUGGGACUAUACCCUGAAGCCUUGUAGUAAAGUAGUGUCCCUUUGUGACUUUCUAAGUCCAAUCGUAGUCUUAAUGAAAUUGACAAUGUCCUCGUAAUCUGACUUGGCGCCUUUCGUAAAUAUCACUAAACCGUUUGGUUGAAAAAAUAUUUACAAUAUACCUAAAUUAGUUUCGGUACAUCAUACUCUAAAUAAUUUGUGUAAUAUAUGUAUCCAUAUAUCUUAUUACAUCAUUAUGUUCAACAUAACUAUACUUUGUAUAUAAGUUGAUCUGAUUUAUACAUAUUCAACCAUGUAGUCUCAGCCCCAUAGAGGUAAACUAUGUGUACAGUAACAGUAGAUUUGAAAGAAUGGGCGGUGAGGACUGCUUAGUACGACAGUACAGCACGGGUUCAAUAGCUUUAAAAAAAGACAUCAACAUAAUCUCGGUAAUCAGUUGGUUUUGAAAAACAUUCAGCACCGGAAUGAAGGAUGUGGACUAGACUUGACUGCAGCUGAUCAUUUCGAAUGUCUUCGCGUGAUGUGAAUGGCUUCGGUUUCUCUUUAUAUUUAAGUACGAGCAAACUGUACGUGUGCAUGCAACAUACAAGCGGGCCUACGGUAUGUGAAACUAACACACAUAUCUAGUUCAGUUCAAUCUUUUUUUUCCAGUAUCGUUUUUGUUUUACAAAAUGUGCAUGCAGCUUGGAACAGGUCCGAGUCAUGCUGGCCACGUUCCCUUUGGUGUGGCAGGAGUCAGCGGGCCUGACGAAGGAUGAGCAUUGGUGUUCCUGUCCGGAAAGCUCAAUCUGAUUGGUUACUUUUCACAUUCACAAAGAUGCAGAAGGGAAAUUUGAGCAACUGAUGUUUUUGGUUUUUCCAAAAAAUCGAGACAAAGAAGAAAUGAAAUGAACCAAAAAAUUACAUUUGCAAGCAGUAUUUUUUAUAUAUUUUUC
rnacentral:lncRNA from 1 species